rnacentral:rRNA from 1 species
UACCAGCACCCCGAGUGGUCGGGACGUUUAUUGGGCCUAAAGCAUCCGUAGCCGGUUCUGCAAGUCUUCCGUUAAAUCCACCUGCAUAACAGAUGGGCCGCGGAAGAUACUAUAGAGCUAGGAGGCGGGAGAGGCAAGCGGUACUCGAUGGGUAGGGGUAAAAUCCGUUGAUCCAUUGAAGACCACCAGUGGCGAAGGCGGCUUGCCAGAACGCGCUCGACGGUGAGGGAUGAAAGCUGGGGGAGCAAACCGG